CAGAUCUCCAGGAUGGGACCAAAAUAGUGUUGAAAGUACGUGGAAGACUGAGGCGAGGCAGAGUUCUGAGCUUUUUCUGCAGCUUGACCAUGGACAAAACAUGCACAGCAGCCUUAACCAACACUGUCACCAGCAUCCCACAGAACCAGAACACGUCAGAUCCAUCCUGCAUCCCAUGGUCGGCUUUGAAAUCUCUCCUGGGUACCAACGAUGUGUGGAUCCCCUGUGCUUGUGCCUGUCCUCUUCCCUGGGACUUCCCAAAGCCCACCCUGAGCCAGUGGGCCUGCAAGGGCCUGCAAAGGCAGCAGUGCUGCCCUUGUGAGCCAGCCUUCUCAGCAGCCCAGCUCCACGUUCAGUCAAGACCAUGGUGUCGGGGAAGGAGUCUCCUCCGUUGAAUGAUGUCCCCCUUGGUAAGCCAAACAUGUGGAAAGGAACAAAGAGAAGCUUCAGGUCCCUUCCUCAUCCCAGAAAAUACAUUAAUGACACCUGCAGCAGCAAUGCUUCAGGUUCCACAAAGGCAACAUGCCUUGGCCUUGGUUCUCUCUCUUCCAUGGGCAAGAUUUGUCCCUUUAUCCUCCAGCUGCAGAGGAAGAGCAAUGGUCAUCUCCUCCCCCAUGAUACUGAGCUGUGUUUCACAGCCAGAAGGUAGUAUUAGGUAGACCUCAGUAUGUCCUGAGCUGCACAGAUGGUCUCUGCCUGAGAUGAAGACUGAAGAGUGAGAAAUGAUGAAGAAAAAAGUGCAGGCUGCCCCACAUGUGACACCCUCUAAUCAACAUCACCCUUGAGAUGUCACCGUCCCUCUUUGGGAUAACUUUAACCCAGUUACCACCAACUCAUGGUUUGCUACUCGGCUGAAUGUCUCAGGAACAUCAUCACCACCCGAAGCUCUACGGGGUACAAAGACUUGCAAAAAAGACCAGGAUACCCUCCCAGGACUGGAGUUCAACCUUCAGAGUCACCUGGAAACAUAAAACCUGACAGGACUAUUCGGAUACCGAAGCUGCUCUCAGGCCAGGUGAGGACAGCCCCAGGCCUCCUCAAAGAACAUGAAGAAAGAGCGAUUACCAUGAGCACCAAAGUGAGUUCACUGCCUUUUUUGCCUACAUCAAGAGUCCUCAAAACCCAGGCAGGUGGGUGUUCCUGAAGGUGGCAUCAGGGGGUGAAGGCCGAUAGCUGCCACUCUGACUCAUUUUUGUAGUGGCAGCAAAACAAGCUCUUUCUCCUGGUUUUCCCCUCUUCUUCCUCCCUCGAUUCCCUAUGCAAGGUCUGUUCCCACCAUCUACCACCAUCUUGCCAUAGCAAGAAGAGCCAAAUACCUUAGCCCAGAGUCAGCAAAAUAUAACAUAAUGCCUACCCUGCUGACUGUCCUGAGCCAGUUCUCUCCUUGCAUCUUCCUUGGGGUAACAAUUCUCAGCCAUACACCUUUCCUCCACCAGACCAAGCACCACUCUUACUGGUACUCACCCCUCCUCUUGAAACAGCCUUCAAAACCCUUAUCAAAGGCUUCACUCUAUCAAUCACCAUCACGGCCCCCAUUCACGCAGCCUUAAAAUGACAAAGCCUGAAUCCCUGCCAGCUCCGAUAAUGCAGAUCCAAAUGACUUUAAAUCUCUCUUCUUUUCUCCCUGCAUUUUCCAUCCAGGGUGUUAAGACCCACAAAAGAAAACUCUGUCUCCCUGCAUUUUUCUGUAAUUUGCAAUGCCACCCACCAAAUAGUAAAGUAGAAAUAGUUAAUAAUACAGGCUUGGGAUAUGCAUAAGCUGUGCUAAUAGACAUAUUUGAAUUCAAAAGCAAUCUGAGAGGCAGAAAAUAAUACCUUAUUAGUAUGCUACAUGUGUGUGCAAAGCAGCAGCCUGUUCUCUAAAAUAUGUGAACAAAUAGUAGAAUCAAAGCCUUCAGUCUCUCCUGUAGAACUCAUUAAAAUCAGUAAUCUUUAUCACUUUUCUCAUUAGAAUUAUUAAAUUCAUUGAUUUCCAUAUCACAUCAUUUUGUAUCAUUGUAAAAACAUCACACAGAGUAAAUCUGCAUUUCUGUAUGUUCACAACCACUCGUAUCUAUUUCUGGGUCCAGCCUCAGGUACCAGUAUCUCACUGUUUCCAGACACCUUGAAGUUUUUCAAACAUUUAGCAAAAUGUGUUGAACCUGGAUGAGCAUAGAAAUCAAGCCCUCAAAAUGAGCUGUUAGUUCAUCUUCUGAAUAUGGACUGAAAGAAGGCAGCACAGGUUCAUCUUCAACUUCAUUACAGUUUUUUCCAAGAACAGAUGUUUUCCUCAAAUAAGCUUAAUUUAUGUGAACUCCUGUAUCUGUCUUCAACAUGCUUCUAGUUUGGAGGUUGUUUUCUCCUAUUCUCUUUGCUCGUUGUAAGAGCAACAGCCUGCACAGGACAUUUCCAAGUGCCUGUAUGACUGAGAGCCCAUUUUAAGGGGUCAGGGACAGAAGUUCUCCAUAGAGGUAUGUGACCAUAACAGUAGAGCACACGAAUUAUGGUAAGGCAGGAUCAUAAGUAAAAAAAUAAAAUAAACAAAAGCAGUAUACCCAAGCAACUAAACCAAGUUUCAUUAGGACUACUUAAUGUGCUCUUGUUGGUCAACUCAGUACGUCCAUCACAUCCAUCACAUUUACAUCUCAGCUACAGGAUGUGGAAAUGAUUCUGUAAGAUACAAUUUGAAAAAGAAGUGAUGAUUUCUUUUUAAAUUUUGAUGCCUGAGGGGGAGAAUAAGUACUAGGCUAUUUGUACUUAAUGAGAUGUUUUCAUUGACAUCGGGAGGCAUAGGAUUUCAAUGUGUUCUCUUUUUCAGCUGAAUUUCACCAUGAAAAAUGAAUAAAUGGAUUGUGUCACCCACUGUCACAGCACACAGUGGGGACAAGGGACAUGACAAUUAAAAAAAGCAUUAGGAGAGUGCUGCCUCUAGAUAUGCUCCACCCUCAACCAAUUCUCUAAUGUGCAAGCUGGUACGAUGAAACGUGCCAUAGAGAUGGAGUCUCCACAAGCAAGGGGUUACUCUUGCAGUAACUCUUCAUGGUUAAUCAGGUCUCAGACAGCAAACCCAGGAGAGCUGAAGGUUGCUCCCAUGGACCUCUACAUGUGUUGUACUUGCAUUUGUACCUAAAUAAGUAAAACAAAACAAAGCAAGUCCCCUCAGGCAUAUUCCAAUCUCUUAGCCAAAUCCAGUUCUAUUUGGGCUGUUCAUCAUCUGAUCUCCCAGGAUCUUUAACAUGGGUCAGGCCAAGCAACCUCUACUGACCCAGAUGGCUGGAAGACAGGUGUGUCACAAGGCUGCUGUGCAGCAUCUCCAGGGCUCGCAGGAGGACGUGACGGACCCAGUUCCAUUUCAGAUGCAUUGUGCACGGAAGACAGACACAUCACUAACACUGCAGCCUGACGCUGGCUUCACAAGCCCAGUCUUUCAACCUAAUGUUGUUUGGAACAGCAAGGAGUUUGUAUCCAUGUUGUAUCCCAUACACUAGCUGCCUCGGGCAUACCAGAGCAAAAACAUAAAAACAGAAAGGCAAAAUAUGUGCAACAAGCAUUUUCAUUUCUGUAAUCACAAAAGCUGUAGAGAAUUCGGAGCUCUAGACAGUGAACCUUCCAGCUGAUCCUUAUUUCCUGGGAACAAGGUGGAGCUCAGCAAAGCAUACAGCACACUUUACAUGAAAGGCAGAGUCACACACUAGAUGGAUUGUAUGAAGCACAAGCUUCUACUCAGUUCUCCAGGAAUCAAAACAUCCCUUCCCUUCUCCAUAUCCUUUUUGUAAGGACAAAUCAUUCCUGUAGCAAUUGUGUUUUCAUUAAUUAACACUGAAUCUGUCUUUCAUGAUUGAUGGGGGGGAAAAAAACAACCUCACACAAAUUCGUUUUAAAAAUUAUGAUAAAAAACACUUCUUUUCUGCAGGACAUUUAAACCUUGCCUAAUCGUGUGCAAGUCUCUAACAUUCACAUAGUGCUUGACUUAUCACUUUUAAAAUUAUUCACAAAUUUAAAAUUUUAUUCUUUCUAUGCUGGGUCUCCUGCAUCACCUUUGGAGAGUAUUCCACAAAGCAUGAGUCUGUGUAUGUACAUUCUAAACAUACUUGCAUAAAACCUGUAUUGCAAAACACAAAACUCUCAAAACUUAUUCAUGUACAUGUGGGUUUUCAGAGUUGAACUGCAUAAAAUCCCAGGAGAAAUGCAAAACACUGAAGACUUGCUUACUAUUUUUGCAUUAGUACAGCUUCCAGAAAGAUGCAAUAUUUCCCAUCAGUAUUUUUCAGUUGAAUCUUUAUUGGCAACAUUAUUAUUUUGCUGACAUUGUAUAUUGGUUAUCACCUGUCUGCGGAGGUUCCCAUUUUGGAUUUGUGAUUUUUAAUGUUAAAGAUUGAAAUUGUAGGAUUCCACCUGCCAGAGCUACCAUGGAAAUUAUUUGACACUUGAAUGUUCUUCUGCCUCCAGGUUUACAGCACAGGCAGCUUCACCCUAGAAUUUAGGAUCUCCUAAAAAAAAAAUAAGUGAAAACUAUUGCUGUUGGGGCAGCUCAGUGGGUAACAGACACACUAGUUCAGAGAGAGUAUUGGGCAUAACUAGAACUGGAAACAAUUACAUUAAUAUUUCAGUUCUGAACUAUGUCUGUUCCUCUAAUCCUCUCUGUUGCAACUCUAUUUGCUGCUUAGCGAUAUCACAUUUAAUACCCAGUUCCUAAUUAGUGUUAUCAAGCACCUCUCUCUCAAUUCCAUUAUGCAGAACUGGAUGAAAUGUUAGGUCAAGUGUAACCCCCAGGGGAGCUUAUAUUACAGUUCGCCUCCCCGUUCCUAGAUGGGCUCCUAUGUUCCACCUCAAGCAAUGGCAGAUUCCUUGUAAGUGCUGAAAUUGUUCAGCUGGGCCCCCAGGGCACCCAGAAACACAGCAGACAUCACAAAACAACUGUCACCACCCUGACUUGAGGAGGUAUUUAGCAAUGACAGUGCAGCUGAUAAAAGCAAGUAGUCAGCCUAUUAGCCAAUAAAUGCCACCUGGGUUAGCUGGAAAGGAAAGCUUGGUUAAAAAAAAUAAAAAAGCACAAAUCAUCCUUCACUUAGCGUUCUUCCCAUUCUUUCCAUCCUCUUUCUCAACAAACACUUUGAAAUUAAAAAAAAAAAAGUUCCCAUUUCUGCUUCAACUUACACAAGCAAAAACUGGUAGUUCAUGUCCGCAGCAAAUUAUGUGCAUGACAUAUGUGACAACUUUAUGUAUUUACAAGGCUUGGAGGAGGCAUUCAGAUCAUCAGGAGCCUUAACCACAUGGUUUUUAAUGUGCAGUUCUAAUUCUCAUGGAUAUGAUGAAAAGUGUUUUACUGCUGGCUGAGCAGUAAUGGAUGUGGAGCUGUUAGCUGCAGUCCACAGGCAGCCUGAAAUGGUGAAAUAGCGUGCACUUAAUUUUGCUCAUUUGGUUUUAGCAAAACCAGGUUUACUUAUAACUGGUGUCAGCACAAGUAACCUGGAGGUUGAGCGCUGUGGGAGAAAGGAGUAUGAGUGGUCAGUGAAACCCUCAGAGAAGGGGAAAUUUCAAAAGAAGCAGAUGGAGAACAGAAAAGAAACAGGCAGGGAAAAUAAAUUUUAAAAGAAUAACAAUAAGUUGGAGAGACAAUGGCGAUAAAAGGCAGUGACAGAAUAAGCACCAAAAGGGAGUGUCUUGAACAAACAUCCACAAGUCUUGUUGCUGGGUAGAUCUGGUGCUGCCGGGGUCCUCCCUGGAAAGAUCUCAUUAAUAUCAGUGAACUGAAAGAUGUCAGCAUUCCUAAUUUAGAUCUCAACACUCAAAUAAGGAUUUGGGUACUGGGUCCUCUCCUGGAACAAGAGCAAUCCUGAAGCCAUUCUGUUAGUCCUGGAAACAUUCAGGAGCUGCAUGGCCAUUAUAUUUAAAAACAACAGAGGAGGAUACGGUUUUCAGGGAGGAAAGUUAACAUUAGCUAAUUUGAUAUUCUACUGUGGACUUUCACCUCGAAGUUUUGCAAGUAAUAACAGUCUGGUGGGAUGUCAGCACAGGAGCUAAAGGAUGACAACCCUGAGUAUGUACAGAAAAACAGGAUCUUCUAAGGCUGGCGGGAGAGUUGCCACCAGCAGGGACAGAGUCUAAGGAAGCAAAAGACUAAAAAGGUAAAAGAAGUGAAGACCAGAAAAUCUGAGCAGCAAUGUCUCUUCCACAAACCAGGAAUACGACCCUCAGAUACAGCUCUGCACCUCAGGUACAUCCCAGCUCCAUCAGGACCUGAAAGCGGACCCGCGUUGCUCCAAGCUGUCUGCCCCUCCUCCUACACCCUCCUGCCUACUGCAAGAAAAGCUGAGAGUGCAUCGUGCACCAACAGGGCUCGGUCUGGAUGACCAAGGGCUUGGGACCCCAGGAUGUCCCACGCCACACUGCAACAGGCCACCGUUAUAGAUCAGUAGACCCAUGACCAGGGAGAGGAAGGAUCCAGCAGAAUACAAGCAGAAAAAGGUGUCUCCCCAUCUACUGCAGGGUGAAGGAAAAGCAAGAAUGGGUACCGUGUCCUAAGCUGGAUGCACAAACCAGUAACAAGGCUAACACCUGUUCAACCCACUGGUGCAAGCACCAGUCAGUAUCCUGGCAGGCAGACCCUGAACCAGCCACAGCCUGAACAGCUCUUGGCAUUAACAAAUGCACCAGCCGCAGAAAAUCACAAUAGUUCAUUUUCAUCCUUAUAAAUAUUGUUACUAAUGACUUCACAUCACUUCACCAGGGUCUUCGGUAGCUCCUAGCCUGGCAGAGCUUGAAGCAAGGCCAGCUCUGAGCAGACGGUAGACAUAUCCCCUAAUUUUUAAGACCAACUACAUAAUAUAAUUCUGUCAUCACCAGCAACAAGGACUCUCCCAACAGGCAAUCUUGGAGAGCCUGGGAGGGACUUCUAGGAUUACAUUAAAAUAUCCCCUGUCUUUACCAUUGGCCAGAGCUUCACCAGUUUCCUGCAGGAAAGAAAACUGAAGAGCAAAAUCCACCACUCCUGAGUGACUUGCAACAAGCAAGUAAGUGAUGUCAAAUAUACAAGUUUUUACCUGGAGCGUAUAUUUAGAACCUGCUGGUUAAUUAAUAUUUAACAGGAAUCUGAGGACAUUAGAAGUAUGCUGCACACUACAGUCUUAUUUAUAGUAAAUAAAAGAGUCUAAAUACCAACUAAAGUUAAAUUCUGAGUUCAUAUACUUGCUUGUAACGGGACACUUCUGCAAUGCACCCGCAUACCAAAGUACUGUAGCAAUUUAUGCCAGGCAUGAGCAGGACCCACAGCAUAGGUGUGCUGCUUUCCAUCUUGCUGGAGUCGCUUCUUGGCUGGGUGAAGAACCCACCUGAAGGCUGUGCACUGCUGGAGCAAAGCUGCCUCCUGUGCCCAGUCAGCUCGUUUGGCUCGGGUACCCUGAUGGUGUUUAGCAAUCGAAAUUGCAGACAAAUCCGGAAGGAUUAGUGGCUGGAGAGCAGGAGUUGAACUGAGAAACUUGUUCCUCCUGCCAAAUAAAUGUAGCAAAUGAGUCCUGGGGAAUGGAAAUGGAGGGUGCCGUGCAAAAGGAAUGCAUAUCACUGUCUCCUCAAAUGAGGCCCCCAAAGUACUGACUGUACCAAUUAAAUUAAAUCAACUUCAUAGCCAAUAUCACACUAUUGCACAAUCAUCUGUAGACAGUGUUAUUUAAAUUAAGAGCAUUUUCUCUCAGAUUAAUUCAAUUAAGAGUAUUUUUUAAAUUAAUAUAAACCAAUGCUGAGGUGAAAUGAGAAACCUGACAGCACAUCAUCAGCUGAUUUCAUGCAAGCCUUGAAAAAGCAACUUCUCAGCAAGAUACAUAAAGUUACAAGCAAGGUUUUUGUUUCUUGUGAGAAGAUUUAUUUUGACCACUAUUAUUUCUGAAAUUAAUUUCUAAAACAAUGUAAGAUUCCACUUUACCAUGCCUGGCUUUUUGCUUGAGUGCUGCAAAGCAGUUUGUCGGAAUACUGAAAAGUUUUUUGCUGAUAAAAGAUACAGAGAACCUAUGUCCUCUUCAGCUUGGACCAUUAAAUAGUCACUGAAGAUCUACAACCUUCCAAGCACAGGUUUUUUUAAUUAACUUACGAAUUAGUAUGACAAAUCUUUAGAUAUAAUUUUUAAAACUUAUAGGAUAAUUUAUUAUUGUUAUUAUUAUAGGGGAAAGAAGUUCUUGAACAGUGAAGCCAGAGAGGGUGUUGAUAGGUGAGGACCGUCCAUCACCAGCAGGACCAUUCAGAAUUAGCAUUAAAGUGUUCCGUCAAACCAACACAGGUUUACCGCAAAAAGUGAAAACAUACAGCUGUUUGAGUUAAAUUGCCUACUGGGAACAUCUAUUGGACUUUCCCUGUAGUGGAGGUUUAUUGUCACCUCAUCUAAGGCAAGGAAUAUUGGAAUAUUUGCCAGUAUAAUAAUCUCCUACAUAUAGAUGGGAAAGGAAGGGGUGAGGAGGGGAGUAAGGGAGGAAACAAGGGAGAGGAGAAAUUACGUCAUAUGAUGUUUUUAGACAUGACAGCAUAGAUAUAUUUCUGUCGGAAAAUCACUUUAGCUAACCUCAUUUGAUUUAUUCAUAUACCUGGUAUUACAUAAAUAAUAACACCAAAUAUAAAUUUUUGCUGUUAGAAGCUUAUAAAGCUUAUAAAAAGUCCAGCUAUAUUACAAAACUGUGAACAAUGAAAUUACUGCUGCUCAGCUAGAGGUUAUCUGAGAUAUAAUGAACAGUUUUGCACAUAUCCUCAGUCCAGUUUAAUAUAAAGUGCAGUGGGUUGGAUUAUUGAAACUCAGGCAGUUUGAGACAGCACUGACAUUGAGGCAGAAAUCACCACCCCCUCACCCUGAACAGCUUCAACAAACAACUUGCAAUCCGAGAGCAAGCUAAGAAGUCGCAGCUUCUGCCUGAAAACCUUUUGAACCACUUCCAGUUAGGAUUUUGCAUUUGUUUAAUGAUACCCUAUGAGGGCUGGGUAAUAAAGCUCUUCCACUACAUUAUGUGUCUUCUAGAGUAGUCUGUGGCCAUGAUCCAAGAUGAUACAUCCUAGAGCUCCACUUGCAUCACUUUGUCAGGAUCUAUGGUCACUUCUCCAUCUCUCUUACGAACAGGCAGAAAUAGCAGCUCCCAAGCCACAGAUCAGCAAAGAUUCAGUCCUGCCUCUGAGACCCUCCCAGAUCUCAGCACCGUGGCUGUAGAACUUCUUUGAAGCCACACGGGUACAAUUUUUGUGAGCGGAAGGGAUGAGCAGAGGGAAGAGCAGAAGAAAGGAUGUUUAUUGAGAAGAUACAAUGUUCUUCUCUGGUAGUGUGGACAGAUUGGCACAUCCUAACAUUGAGGAAUAAUAAAUGCAUCUCUAGCACUUUUACUAGCUACUUGAUCAAUAGGUUCAACAUACCAAUGUAUUUGAAACGUAACAACCAAUCCAGAUAUACGGCUUGUGUACGUCAGGAUAAGGGCAAUGAAGGAAACCUCUUUAAAACUACCUGAUAAAAAAUUUGAUUGAAAACUGAGAGCUGAAAAGCGGGUUACUAUUUCUGACUUUUGCUGCAGAAAAGCAAAAUCUCGAAUUAAAAAUUAAAAAAAAAAAAAAUCAUCAAAAACACCAUCAAAGCAAAACUUGAAACUGUGAUUUGAGUGACUCGCAUUGCCCCUGCUGUAGGCCAAGCUCUGUGGUCCAACUGCCUGUCCCGUCAUGCCUGAGGGCAUCGCUCCCCCUCACACAUGUGAGAAUCAUGGCUUCUGGGAAACCUGGUUUACAGGGCAGAAUAGGAGCAGGAGGAAAACAAAUUACAGCUUUCCUAAGGAUCUGGCACAGCACUACCAAAGCCAAAGGCACAGGUUUUGGGUGGACUACCACUGUCUUCAAAGAAAAUAAGCAUCUAUUUCUGUCAAAAUACCAUUGAAGUUUGAGUGAUUAUUUUAUUACAUCUUAAUGACUGAAAAUGUUGCCUCCUCAGAUUUUGUGAAUUACCCUCCUUGAACCAUAGGAAACAAUGAUGGACUAAUUUUUCUUCUUACAUUAAAAAGGAGAAAAUGUGGUGCUACACAACUUGACUAAUUUUGCCAGACUUUCAAAUCUGAUAAUAGCAUUCUUCAUAAUUGAUUUAGUCUUUCUCAAUUCCAUUUAAAUCAGCUUUCUUCUUUAAUUAAAUCACAACAUAUUUUAUGCCAGGAGAAAAUUGGUCAUUUUGAACUGCUGGUAUAAUUAUGAAACUACACCACAAUGCACAAGAGAAUCCUGAGGUCUACAGCUAUAAAUAAGUUUAAGAGUUAAUUUCAUGCUUCUGUUUUCCGUACAAUAUUUACAGCAUAUUUGCAUUGCUGAUAUGUUUUACGCUCUAUGUUUUAUAAUGUUUUGCAGACAGUGCUCCAAUUCUCAGCGUACAAUAAUAGGAAUUAAAUAUUUAUGGUUGUGUAUAACUUCAAUUCUCUCUGCAGUCUUCAGAGUUCCUCUUAGAAGCCAGCACUGUCAGCUCAGAGCCUGCGCUGGCACCAGUGAUGAUUGCUCUGGCACAGCCUCUUGUUACAGCAAGGAUUCUUUCUAACCCCAGCUCACCCGUAAUUUCAGUGCGUUUCAUCCCAUCUUCUUCACAGAAAAAAGUUAUCAAAGACAAGAAUGUUGCCCUACUUUUCAAGCCCAAAAAAGAUGCAGUCAGAGAGCAAAAAUUUUGCUUUGAUUUCCACGCAUCUCAUGUAUGCUUUGGAGGAGGAGGUUUGACUCUGUGGGGGACACUUGUAACUCAUACCUCUGAUCAGGCCAAGGCUUCAGACUUCUCUUCACCUGGCAACAGGUCACACAAAACAUGCAAGAAAGAGAAAUACAUGCACUCUCUGGGGCAUUUGAGUCUCACUAGAGGCUGCAGGGGGGACCAAAGGAGCAGGUUUUCAGGGACAGUGUUUCUUCUUCCAUGCAGAGCCACAACAGGACAGGACCACCAGAGUACCCAACCUCACAGGAGAGCCAAAGCUACGGCUGAGACGCACAACAGUUGAGACAAGCCUUCGCCUACCUCUGUCUUGCUCUGUCCUGGGUCUGGGUCUCAUUCUUAAAACUGGUUCUGGCAAUGUUCCUGAACUUCAAGUUCCUUUUCUAGCUAGGAGACAGAAAAGUCACUGAGGAAUGUAGAUGACAGGGGACAAGAAAAUGGAGAGGGUAACUUCCAGGAGACACAUAAUCUAGCUACAGAUAAUUUCAAAUCCAGGUCCCAGCAAUCACAGGUACCAUGGAAGACCACUGCUUCCUUCCAGUCACCACAAGCCACGAAGCACUCCAGCAAGUUACACUGAACUCCAGGUGCACAGAAAAACAAAAGAAAACAAAAAGAAAAUCAAGUCCUGUAAAGGUUUGGGGUUUUUUUGUGCCUUGAGAUGUAGACAGAACAAACGCCAGUGAAUGGCACUGGCAUUUGGGCUACUGGCCUUGCCCUGUUAGUGGCAGGGCAUCCCACAUAUUUAUUCUAGAAAUGUAAAAAUCAAAUAAGAAUCAAAAAUCAAAUGCUGUUAACACCUGCUAAAAAUAUCUAGACUUUCUAUUACUUUCUCUGUUCCUUUAUCUGACCAUCUGUUCUGCCUUAAAAACAGGAACUCAGGUUGCUGUUAUCUCCACUGUACACUAUUGAAUGGACCUCAUAAAUCUGCAGGGCCCUCCCCGCAGCUUUUGCCCUCUGCUAUGCGAUGCUACCAGGGUCACUUGAGGAUCCAUCAGCCCACAGGGGUCAGGGACACAGCAGACACUGAUUACAUCCAGGGCAAAGGAGGAUCGCACAAGGACGCCAGUUGGAAGCUGCCAUUCCACGUUAGGUCCUGCACAAGACGGAUUAGCCCAAGCUUCUUCCCUACACACCAAGCAGACAGUGACAGUCGGGUGAUGCAUCACUGAGAGACAAUCACUGGAUUUCAUGCUGGCCAAGAAGGAAUUUUCCUAAUCAGCCUGAUGAAGAGAGACUGGAAUCUUGUCUGUCACAAGAUUACUCCGAAAUGCAAGUCACGUAUGGCCAAGGGCCAAUCUUUCACAGUUUGCAUGGUGGCAGGUUGAUAAAUCUCAAGUCAUGGUCAGUCCCUGGGAGGAAAGCUGUCUCAAAGUUGCACGGGACUUUGUUUUUCAGGAGAAGAGCAAAAAGCUGAGAAUCUUGAGGAGCUCAGUUUGAUUCAGUAGAGGGAAACCCUUUUUGGAUUCUUCUUCAGUUACCCCUACAGGACACCUGGGUUCUGCUGGCUGCUCCUGUUCCCAUGAGAAGGUCCUAACUACAGAGUAAACACUUGUUCUGGGUUCAUGGAAUCACUGAUUGGUUGAGGAUGGAAGGCAGAUCAUGUAGGCCAAGCCUAUGCUCAGAGCAGCGUCAGCAAGAGGCAGUUGCUCAGGGCUGUGUCCAAUCAGUUUUUUGGUAUCUCCAAAGACAGAGAUUCCACAACCUCCCUGGAAAACCUGUGCCAGUGUUGGAUCACCCUAUAAAAUAAAAUAAAAUAAAAUAAAAUAAAAUAAAACAUAAAAUGAAAUAAAAUAAAUUUUCUUAUGUUUAAAUGGAAUUUCCUGUAUUUGAGUUUGUGCCUCUCAUCCUGUCACUGGGCAUCAAUUAGAAGAGUCUGGCUCCAUCUUUUUUACACACCCCAUCAGGUAUUUAGGCACAUUGAUGAGGUCCAACUCUGAGCCUUCUCCGGGCUGAGCAGUCUCAGCUUUCUCAGGCUCUCCUGAGAGAUGUUCCAGUCCCUUAAUCAUCUUCACAGUGGAGUCUCUCCAGUAUGUCCAUGUCUCCUCUUGCAUUGAGGAGCCCAGAACUGGACCCAGCACUCCAGGUGUGUCUCACCAAGUGCUGAGCAGAGGGGAAGGUUCAUCUCCCUCACCUUGCUGGCAAUACUUUGUCUAAUGCAGCCCAGGACACCACUGGCCUUCUUUGCCACAAGGGCAGAUUGCUGGUUCACAUCCGACUUGAUGUUUACCAGAACCCCCAGGUCUUUAAUGCAAACUUGCUUUCCAGCCAGCAGGUGCUGGUGCCUGAGGUUAUUCCUCCCCAUGGGCAGGACUUGGCCUUUCCCUUUGUUAAAUUUCAUGAGGCUCCUGCCGGUCAAUUUCUCCAACCUGUCAAGGUCUCUCAGAACAGCAGCACAACCAGCUGGAGUAUCAACCACUCCUCCCAGUUUUGUAGUGUCUGCAAACUGACUACACUUGGGUACAUAUGUCUCCUUCUUGAAGCAGUUCCAAUGCAUUAGUCAGUCACCUGAAAGCACCAUAAUAAUUUCUUUCUGGACAGAAUAUCAGUAUUUACCUGUCUUUUAGCAGAAAGGUAUGAUUUUUGCCUAGGGGUACAUUUUCCUAUAAAGUCCAACAUUAAAAGAAGCAGUGUUACUAUAAAACCUGUACCAAUAUGUUUAAUAAAAUAUGCCAUCUCUCCCUAAAAUGUCACACCUCUUAUUAGACAAAAUUGUUGCUACUAGUACUACUGCUAUUGCUACUAUAAAAUUUCAGUCUUCCUAUUUGGGUUUUAAGAAGAGGUUUUACAGAUUCUUUGCCAGUAGUUAAAAACCGCUGCCUCUUACCUCUGCAUACUUGAAUA